rnacentral:rRNA from 1 species
UACGUAGGUGGCAAGCGUUGUCCGGAUUUAUUGGGCUUAAAGGGUGCGUAGGCGGCUUAAUAAGUCAGUGGUGAAAGCCGAUCGCUUAACGAUCGAACUGCCAUUGAUACUGCUAGGCUUGAGUAUAGUUGAGGUAGGCGGAAUUGACAGUGUAGCGGUGAAAUGCAUAGAUAUUGUCAAGAACACCAAUUGCGAAGGCAGCUUACUAAAGUAUAACUGACGCUGAGGCACGAAAGUGCGGGGAGCAAACAGG